UAUACAAGGUUUCCGUAGGUGAACCUGCGGAAGGAUCAUUA
rnacentral:rRNA from 2 species